rnacentral:tRNA from 1 species
GCUGUUUUAGUUUAAUUUUUAAAAUUUCUAAUUUGUAAUUAGGGGAUUUAUUACAGUU